rnacentral:rRNA from 1 species
GACGAACGCUGGCGGCGUGCCUAAUACAUGCAAGUCGAGCGAAGUUUUUAUGGUGCUUGCACUAGAAAAAGUUAGCGGCGAACGGGUGAGUAACAUGUAAAGAACCUGCCUUAUAGACUGGGACAACUAUUGGAAACGAUAGCUAAUACCGGAUAACAGCAUUAACUGCAUGGUUGAUGUUUAAAAGUUGGUUUUGCUAACACUAUGAGAUGGCUUUGCGGUGCAUUAGCUAGUUGGUGGGGUAAAGGCCUACCAAGGCGACGAUGCAUAGCCGACCUGAGAGGGUGAUCGGCCACACUGGGACUGAGACACGGCCCAGAUUCCUACGGGAGGCAGCAGUAGGGAAUCUUCCGCAAUGGGCGAAAGCCUGACGGAGCAACGCCGCGUGAGUGAAGAAGGAUUUCGGUUCGUAAAGCUCUGUUGUUAGGGAAGAAUGAUUGUGUAGUAACUAUACACAGUAGAGACGGUACCUAACCAGAAAGCCACGGCUAACUACGUGCCAGCAGCCGCGGUAAUACGUAGGUGGCAAGCGUUGUCCGGAAUUAUUGGGCGUAAAGCGCGCGCAGGUGGUUUAAUAAGUCUGAUGUGAAAGCCCACGGCUCAACCUUGGAGGGUCAUUGGAAACUGUUAAACUUGAGUGCAGGAGAGAAAAGUGGAAUUCCUAGUGUAGCGGUGAAAUGCGUAGAGAUUAGGAGGAACACCAGUGGCGAAGGCGGCUUUUUGGCCUGUAACUGACACUGAGGCGCGAAAGCGUGGGGAGCAAUCAGG